rnacentral:rRNA from 1 species
UAUCUCUGUAGAGUCUGCAUAUCAAUAAGCGGAGGAAAAGAAACUAACAAGGAUUCCCCUAGUAACGGCGAGUGAAGCGGGAAGAGCUCAAAUUUGAAAUCUUCAAGGUUUGACCUUGACGAAUUGUAGUUUAAAGAAGUGUUUUUCGGUUAGAGGAGUAGUAAAAGUUCUUUGGAAUAGGACAUCAUAGAGGGUGAGAAUCCCGUAUUUGACCGUUAUCUUUCCAGCUGUGUGAUACACUUUCAAAGAGUCGGAUUGUUUGGGAACGCAGUCCAAAAUGGGUGGUAAAUUUCAUCUAAAGCUAAAUAUUGGCGAGAGACCGAUAGCGAACAAGUACCGUGAGGGAAAGAUGAAAAGAACUUUGAAAAGAGAGUUAAACAGUACGUGAAAUUGUCAAAAGGGAAGCGUUUGACACCAGUGUUGUUUUUCCGAAAAUCAAUUACGAAAUGGCUUGGUUUGGGUUGUAUUGACCUUAUCAGCUUUCUUCACUUUGUUUUCGAGUCUUUCUUGAUGCACUUUUCCGGUUAACAAGUCAACAUCAAUUUCCUUUUGUUGUAAAAAGAGUAAUUCGGAAGGUGGCUUUCAAUUUCGGUAGAAAGUGUUUAUAGCCCUAUACUUCUAGCAAGUCGGAGAGAUUGAGGUCUGCAGCGUAGAUCCUUCGGGGUUAGAUACACUUUAUGCUAAGUUAUAGCUUUUCAUAGACAACUUGUUGACUAUGUUUAGUCAUGUCGGCUUACUCGCUUAAGUGCUAUUUUACCUACGCUUAGGAUGUUGAAGACUCUACAGAGAU